rnacentral:lncRNA from 1 species
AGUUCUCAACUUGCUCCUUGGCUGUUCUCCUGACACUUAAGUCAGAGCAUUCUGUAGCUGUAUUUUACAGUACUGUAAUUGCACAGAUUGUUCCUCUUACAAGAGAAAUAUCCAGAGCUCUAAGAAAACAACUGAUGAAAACGACAUGCGUGACAUUUGGUGCUGAAGACCCGGGUCAGAGAGACUCCUUUGGGGGACCAGUCCCCUGUCCUUGCCCUCACUCCGUGAGGAGACCCACCUACGACCUCAGGUCCUCAGACCAACCAGCUCAAGGAACAUCUCACCAAUUUCAAAUCGGGACCCCACUGGAAAUUGGACUGUCCAACUCACCCAACAGCCACUCCCAGAGCCCCUGGAACUCUGGCCCAAGGCUCUCUGACUGACUCCUUCCCAGAUCUUCUCGGCUCAGCAGCUGAAGACUGACACUGCUUGAUUGCCUGGGAAGCCUAUGGGACCAUCACAGACACUUUGGAUAACUCUUACGGUGAAGGUGUCUGGAGUUUCCCCUAUGGACGCUCUCUCCUGCCACCAUGUAAGUCUUCC